rnacentral:rRNA from 1 species
CAAUAGCGUAUAUUAAAGUUGUUGCAGUUAAAAAGCUCGUAGUUGGAUUUGUGGUGUGUCCUGUGUGCAGUUGGACUAUGUUCAUCUUGCGUUACGGGUCUGCCAUGUUUGGGUGGAAUCUGUGUGGCAUUAGGUUGUCGCGCAGGGGAUGCCCAUCGUUUACUGUGAAAAAAUUAGAGUGUUCAAAGCAGGCUUAUGCCGUUGAAUAUAUUAGCAUGGAAUAAUGAUAUAGGACCUUGGUACUAUUUUGUUGGUUUGCGCACUGAGGUAAUGAUUAAUAGGGACAGUUGGGGGUAUUCGUAUUCCAUUGUCAGAGGUGAAAUUCUUGGAUUUUUGGAAGACGAACUACUGCGAAAGCAUUUACCAAGGAUGUUUUCAUUAA